UUAAUUGAAGAGUUUGAUCAUGGCUCAGAUUGAACGCUGGCGGCAGGCCUAACACAUGCAAGUCGAGCGGUAACAGGAGAAAGCUUGCUUUCUUGCUGACGAGCGGCGGACGGGUGAGUAAUGUAUGGGGAUCUGCCCGAUAGAGGGGGAUAACUACUGGAAACGGUGGCUAAUACCGCAUAAUGUCUACGGACCAAAGCAGGGGCUCUUCGGACCUUGCACUAUCGGAUGAACCCAUAUGGGAUUAGCUAGUAGGUGGGGUAAAGGCUCACCUAGGCGACGAUCUCUAGCUGGUCUGAGAGGAUGAUCAGCCACACUGGGACUGAGACACGG
rnacentral:rRNA from 2 species